UGUUGUUACACAUGUGUGGUGCUUUGUUUCAGCUUUCCUUUUUUUAUUGAGACAUCAGCUUGAUGUGUGUGCAUGCUCAAGUGUGGAUGCUUUGUUUCAUCUGCCUCUUUUGUUAAGAUAUCAGCCUAGAGUAAUGAAAAUUACUUCACAUCACUGGGAUGGAUAUUCAGUCACAAAGGAGUAUAGUUGCUGAAGCCAAGCUGAUCUGCAAGUUGUGCUCUCUGCAUGCUCUCCACCUCCUUCCCCUAUCUUUUGAAAAUAUUGGUAUGAAAACAUAAUGUAUGAUAUCAAAGUAUUAACUUUUAGAAAAAAAAAUAGUUUAAAGAAAUAGACCAGUUAUUUACACAACUCAUUCAUACGCCUGUGUUUCAUAUCAUGUCACUGACUUGCAUCACGUCUCCACUGGUGAGUCAGCAGGCAUGACUGCCUAACCUAGACACAAUCAGUGGCCAGUGGGAGCAGCAGCAAGUGAACUGCAGAGAAAAUUUGCACAGUUCACAGGCAGUCUCAACAAAGAAAAAUAGCCAAGAUAAAGCAUGUGUAUACACACACACACACUUUGUUGAUUCAUUCCAUCUGUAAGCACCCCCACUCCCCCAGAGAUCACAUUAGAACAGAAGUUUGAGGGUUGUGGAAAGUGUGAUAUUUCCUGCCACAAACACUGUGUGGAGUAUGUCGUCCUAAGGUUAAGUGGUGGGACUUUGGCUGACACAUAGUGGCAGUUAGAGGAAAAUCCCAUCAUUAUUGGAGCAAGACAGCUGAAGGAACAGAACCCCAUGAUUCUUCUGGAUGUCAGUGUGAGUGGCGGAGCAUAUGCUCUCCAGAAACCUCAAACCUAGAAGCCAGGUGAUGUACUGUAACUCAGUUUACUCCAGUUUAGUGGCACAUUUUCUUGUAUGCAGUCCUGAUUUGUACCAUACAGUCACUCACUGUGUAAGUCUUUGACAUCACGAGAAAUUUGUGCACUUGUAUAUGCAUGCAUCACAAAAUGCUGCAGAUGGGAUGAGGUAAGUGAUACUUCAUAAAAAGGCAUAUAUUUCUCAAGAAAAGUAAUUAAAACCGACCCAUAUUGUCAAUCAAAGCAAGUGGGAAGAACUUGAGUAUUGCCAUUUAGUAGGUAUUUUUGGCAUGCAGCUUCUCUGUGGUGAAUACAGUGGUAAAAAUAACUAACAUGCUAGUUGGCCACAUGCAACUCACCAAUCAUGUCAAGAUGUGCUGGCUGGACUUCUUUUACUCUAUCCUUCCACCUCCCUGUGAUUCUCUUCUCCUAUUACUCUAUCACCUUUCACCUUACUUGUUCAGCACUUCUGUCAGCUUUUCCUGCUCUCAUUCAUCUUAAAUCUACUCGCAAAAAUUCCCUCCCUCCAUUAGGUGUUGGUCAGACAUCACUCUACCUUUUCCUCUCAUCAUUCACAGGCAAUAUUUUUACUGCUUCCCUGACACUGGUGGUGACAAUUCUUCAUCUGCUUGCAUCACUCAAGUAUGCUCAUCAUUAUCCUUCUUAAAUAUAAAUAUUUCCAGUCACUAACUGUCACUGAAAGCAUAGCCCUAACAUUCUUCCUCCAAUUUAAUUUCUUUGAAGUGCACCACACAACUACACCUUAAACUACACACAGUGGAACCUCGGUUCGUGAACAUUACUAUUUAUGAACAAAUCACUUCAUGAAUAUUUUUUAAGAAUUUUUGCCAUGGUUCUUGAACAGUGUUUCUGUGUGUGAAUGCACAAACACCCUGCAGACCCCCUCAGCUGGCAAGCACACACACACUGUUGUGUUUUGGCAUGCCUGCCGUGAACAUUGUGAUUAUCACACACUGGCAAGUCACCCAAGUCAGGUGCCUUCCCAGCUGUUGGAGAGGAGCUAGACCUGGAUCUCCUUUACCCCAUUCCACCUCUAGUAAAUUGCAUGCCUUCUUAUUUAGCCUGCCUCUUUUUACUUUACUUUCAGGAUGGUUAUAAAGAUGAUAAUAAUUAGAGAGAAAAGACACCAUCUCGCCUUGCACCAAACAUGCACUGGCUGGAAGGAAAUAUUGGAGCAAGACUGUAAAGGAGGGAUUUUUCUGCAUAACAGUAUGUGCUCUGUUGUCCAAUUACAUUUCACCUCAUGUCCCAUUGUCUGGAUACCCAAAGAAAGAGUGCAUCUGUUAGACAGGUUUAUAAGACGUGAGGUUGUCAAGAAUUCCUGGAUCACAGACACAAGGUGGAAUUUGGAAAGCAUGUGCUGUCAUGAGUAGUGCAACAAUCCCCAUUUUACAUAGACUUUUAUGCUCAAAUAUUUCCUUCCAGCCAACCCAUGCCUGGUGCAAGGCAAGAUUUUGUCUUUUCCUCUCAAACAACUCUUUCCAACCAUUCUGAAAGUUGAAAUAGGAAGUGGCAGACUUAAUUAAUUUAUGAAGGCAUGUGAUUUAGAGAUGGAGUAAGGUAAGGGCUCCCAGGUCAAACAGCUGGGAAGGCACCUGACCUUCAUAUCAGUGACAUGAUAUAGCCUGAUGUCCAAGAAACUUACACCUUUCUGUGGUUACUGUAACUUCAUUCUUGUCAAAGAAAAAAAAAAAAAAUAA